rnacentral:rRNA from 1 species
GACGAACGCUGGCGGCGUGCCUAAUACAUGCAAGUAGAACGCUGAAGGAGGAGCUUGCUUCUCUGGAUGAGUUGCGAACGGGUGAGUAACGCGUAGGUAACCUGCCUGGUAGCGGGGGAUAACUAUUGGGAACGAUAGCUAAUACCGCAUAAGAGUAGAUGUUGCAUGACAUUUGCUUAAAAGGUGCAAUUGCAUCACUACCAGAUGGACCUGCGUUGUAUUAGCUAGUUGGUGGGGUAACGGCUCACCAAGGCGACGAUACAUAGCCGACCUGAGAGGGUGAUCGGCCACACUGGGACUGAGACACGGCCCAGACUCCUACGGGAGGCAGCAGUAGGGAAUCUUCGGCAAUGGACGGAAGUCUGACCGAGCAACGCCGCGUGAGUGAAGAAGGUUUUCGGAUCGUAAAGCUCUGUUGUAAGAGAAGAACGAGUGUGAGAGUGGAAAGUUCACACUGUGACGGUAUCUUACCAGAAAGGACGGCUAACUACGUG